GGCUUUUUGAAAUUUAUAUAAAGUCUGACCUGCCCAAUGAGAAAUUAAAUGGCCGCGGUAUCUUGACCGUGCAAAGGUAGCAUAAUCAUUAGUUUUUUAAUUGAAAGCUGGAAUGAAAGGUUUGAUAAGAAAAAUACUGUCUCUUAAAAAUUUUAUUAGAAUUUUAUCUUUAAGUUAAAAAGCUUAAAUUUUUUUUAAAGACGAGAAGACCCUUUAGAAUUUUAUAUUAUUAUUUUAAUUUCUUUUUUAGAAUUAAGUAAAUUAAUUAAUUUAAUUGUAUUUGGUUGGGGUGAUUGAAAAAUUUAAUAAACUUUUUUUAAAUUAUUACAUUUAUUUAUGAGUAUAUGAUCCAAUAUUUUUGAUUAUAAGAAUAAAUUACCUAAGGGAUAACAGCGUUAUUUUUUUUGAGAGUUCAAAUCGAAAGAAAAGAUUGCGACCUCGAUGUUGGAUUAAAAUUAAAUUAUGGUGCAGCAGCUAUAACUUUAGGUCUGUUCGACCUUUAAAAUUUUACA
rnacentral:rRNA from 1 species